UAGAAAAUGUAAAGGCCAAGAUCCAGAAU
rnacentral:piRNA from 1 species